AUGUACCACGCGUGCACUCCGGUUCCUCGUGCCGUCCACAUCCACCUGACGACUGCUCGCUACGUUUGUUAGCC
rnacentral:sRNA from 1 species